rnacentral:lncRNA from 1 species
GAAAAUCAGAACAAGAGUCCAGGAGCCCACUUGGAGUGCUGAGCCAGCUUAGAGUCCUGCCUCCACCCCUCCCUGGCUGUGGACUUUACCCCAGGUUGCAUAAUCACACCAGCCAAGUGCAGUCUGCCACUGGUUAAAAGGGGGUAGUGUGCCAGUGCUCUAGCCUAUGGGGCUGUUGUUCUACUGCCACCUGGAAAUCCUUCCUGAGCUCAAAGCCUUCUGCUUUGGCUGCAGGUCAAGGCUGACAGGGAAGGACGUAUUCAUACAGCCAGCCAUGGAGCAUAUCAUCAUAAAGAUGACCACUGGCAAAAAAGCUCUGGGAGAAGAUAUGUUUACCAUCCCAAUUUGAGGAGCUUCCAAUAUAAGGAAAAUUUCCUGGAAACGUGGCUACUCUCCAAGGAUUUCUCAGAGUAGAAUGCCUUCUAGAAUUCCAGUGUCCCCAUCACUUGGAACCUCAUAAGAAGGCUCUGAGAUGGAUUUCCCAAUCAAGGAUCUGAGCUGAAUCACCCCUCCUCCAUGGAAAACAAGUCAGCUCCCUCAGGGCGGGUGAUGGAAAUAGACUCGCCUUGCUAAUCUCCACCACCCUGUGAGACUAAAGUUCACCGCCAUGGCCCUCUCCCUGGGAAUAAAAGAGCAACCCAGGAGAAAAGUCACCUCAGUCUUUUUCUCCCAUCCUUCCCAAGAAAUGGUCUUUCUUCCUCUUUCUUCUGGGUAGAUGAGGAUGGAGAGGAAGAGGAACCAGAGGGCAAAGUACUUUGACAGAUGGGGGAGGGAAGAAUGGACAUGGGGAAAUCAGAAUUGGAAAUGAAGGAUAACAAGAAGAUUCCCUGGAGAUUCUUCAACAGUUCCCACAUACAGGACAGCUAAGGCACAACCCAGUUGCCAAGACACUGAAGAACCCAAAAAUGCAGUCAGUGGAAGGUGAUGACAGCUAAGAAGCAGGCAAAUCUGAUACACUGGCUCCUAUAAAGAGCUAUGCCCUGUAGGAGAGCUACAAACUGCUUAAGUGAAGAGAGGGAGUGGCCAUCCAGUGUGAGACCUUGAAUCAGGAGGCCCACACUAUUUCCAGCUCAGUCACCAGUUUAAGCGGGGGGACCUCCAAGCAAAAGAUGAAUGUCAGAGAUUGGCUUAAUCAGCUGCCUAUGGGAUGGGCAAAUAUUUCCAGGAUGCUUUGAAAUCUCUAGAUGAAAGGAAAUUCCAGGAAAAGCUGUCAUUACUUUGAGCACUGAUCAUAGGGGAGCCAGAGCAUCUUUGAGCUCCUGUAUUGGAAUCAGAGGCUGCAGUAGUUUUAUCUUGGGUGGACCAGUCCUGAGGGAUCUGUUUUCUAAUAGUAUCAAUUAAGAACAGGGUCAGUGGUGAGGUCCCUGAAGAAUAUAAUCAAAAAUCUCACUACCAGAGUAUAGAAAUUUCCAACCAAGGUCCAAAACGCUUUCUGUGCAGAUCAAUUCUGGCCAGACCUAACUUGCCUAGACAGAUGAUGUGCAAGCUAUGAUCUGAUAAUACCUCUUCUCUCUUUUCUCUUCUCUUCUCUUCUCUUCUCUUCUCUUCUCUUCUCUUCUCUUCUCUUCUCUUCUCUUCUCUUCUCUUCUCUCCUCUCCUCUCCUCUCGUCUCCUCUCCUCUCCUCUCCCCUCCUCUCCUUUCCUCUCUUCUCUUCUCUUCUCCUAUUCUCUUCUCCUAUUCUCUUCUUUCUCUCUUUCUCUCUCUCCCUCUUUGUUUCUUUUUUUCAGUACCAGGGAUCAAACUCAGGACCUUGCCCUUUCGAGGCAGGCUUGGAGACACUGAGCUAAAUCCCUGCCCCCCCUUCUUGAGACAGGGUCAUGGUGAUCCUCCUGCCUCAGCCUCCUGAGUGCUGGGAUUACAAGCAUGAGCCACUAUGCCUGGUUCUCCUGUCCUUUUUUGCCUUUACACAUACAUAAGCCUACUUAAAAAUAGUGGUGCAGGGUGCCGGGGAUGUAGCUCAGUGGUUCCGCCUCCUGCCUCGCAAGCGCAAGGUCCCAAGUUCGAUCCCCAGUACCAAAAAAAAAAAAAAAAAAAGUGGUGCAUGCUCCUGUAGUCCCAAUACUUAGGAGGCUGAGGCAGGAGGAUUGCUUGAGCCUGAAUUGGAGGCCACAUUAGGCAAUUUAUUAAAAAACCUGUCUCAGGGCUGGGGAUUUAGCUCAGUGUUUCUGGUGCCUGCCUCGAAAGUGCAAGAUUCCAAGUUCGAUCCCCAGUACCAAAAAAACCCAAACCAAAACAACAAAAAACCUGUCUCAAAAUAAAACAAAACAAACUACUCUGACUUGCUGAAGGAUACAAGGAAAUUCCAAAAUGAUCACCCUAAGUAUGGCCCCCUAUUUUCAGAAGAUCAGCCUUAAAAAAAAAUAAAAGGAACAUGAUAUGCUUAAGCCAAA